GGGUGGAAAAACAGUGGUAUCGAUAUACCGCAGAGAUACUGCAAGGCUCAAUAUUUUAUUUUUCUUUGCGGGAGAAGUUUUAUCUUCAAAGAAUUCAUUUGAGGAGCAACAUUCUUUUUUUUAAAUUUUUUGCCUUUUUUUUUUGCAAUUCUUUUGCAGGUUAAUCCCAGGGACCUGAAACAAGGGUUGUGCUAAACAGACUUGUUCCGCUGGCACUGCACAUGAGCGGUCAAUCCCACACCUCUGGCCCCGCCCACUGCUGCCUCCGGCCGAUCAAUAGGCUGUCAAAGUGCCUCGCAGGCGCAGCGACUGCAGACCGUCUGAGAUUUCGCCCUCUCAUUGUCCAUCUUCACUGUUUUAAGAGCAUUUAUCAGGUUACGCGGCGGCUCUCCCCCCCGCGCACUAAUGCACAGCUGAGCAGCUGCCCUGAAAAACCUCAUGAGCGGACCUUUGUCCUGCUCCGCUCAGGAACUUCAACCAGACGGUGAACGGAUGAGGCUGCGAGGGAGCAGAAAUAUUACCAACUAUCUCCAGACAGUAUCUACCUCCAACCAUAGAGAACGCCGUAGUGGGAAGUGGAUAUAGUUGUGUAUUCAUGACUCGGAUACCUUCAUGCCGGGGAUUUUAUCGGGGCCCAAAGGUGCUGGGAGGAAAUGAUCCGGCUCAACUCCGGAGGGAAGCCACAGAUGGGCUUGACCUUUUGCGGUGUGUCAAGCAAAGGUGGUUGUGAAAAGUACAGCAAUCCUAAUUUAGUUGCUGUGGGUCUCAACAAAGAGCAAAUCAGCCAUCUUCCAUUCAAGAUGCUGCUACGCACGCAAGUGCGC